rnacentral:rRNA from 1 species
GGUUACUGCUAUCGGUGUUCGCUAAGCCACGCGAGUUAUAUGUUCGUAAGAACAUGGCGUACUGCUCAGUAACACGUGGAUAACCUGCCCUUGGGUCCGGCAUAACCCCGGGAAACUGGGGAUAAUUCCGGAUAACGCACAUAUGCUGGAAUGCUUUUUGCGUAAAAUGGAUUCGUCUGCCCAAGGAUGGGUCUGCGGCCUAUCAGGUAGUAGUGGGUGUAAUGUACCUACUAGCCUACGACGGGUACGGGUUGUGAGAGCAAGAGCCCGGAGAUGGAUUCUGAGACAUGAAUCCAGGCCCUACGGGGCGCAGCAGGCGCGAAAACUUUACAAUGCGGGAAACCGUGAUAAGGGGACACCGAGUGCCAGCAUCCUAUGCUGGCUGUCCGGGUGUGUAAAAUACACCUGUUAGCAAGGGCCGGGCAAGACCGGUGCCAGCCGCCGCGGUAACACCGGCGGCCCGGGUGGUGAUCGUGAUUAUUGGGUCUAAAGGGUCCGUAGCCGGUUUGGUCAGUCCUCCGGGAAAUCUGACAGCUCAACUGUUAGGCUAUCGGAGGAUACUGCCAGACUUGGAACCGGGAGAGGUAAGAGGUACUACAGGGGUAGGAGUGAAAUCUUGUAAUCCCUGUGGGACCACCUGUGGCGAAGGCGUCUUACCAGAACGGGUUCGACGGUGAGGGACGAAAGCUGGGGGCACGAACCGGAUUAGAUACCCGGGUAGUCCCAGCCGUAAACGAUGCUCGCUAGGUGUCAGGCAUGGCGCGACCGUGUCUGGUGCCGCAGGGAAGCCGUGAAGCGAGCCACCUGGGAAGUACGGCCGCAAGGCUGAAACUUAA